UUGACCCCUAAGUUACAAAUGUCCAAUUUCUAAUGACAGAGAUCAGCAUGGCCCUUACACAAGGAUGACCUGCCAAUUCAUGAAAUGUUCCACAUUUUU
ensembl:snRNA U6 U6 spliceosomal RNA